GUGCUGUGAUGACCUCCUUAUUGGUUUCACUUUAUCACUGAAUUUCUCUGAUGACACCUUCUCUUGGCUGGCUGAGCAC